UACGAAGGGGGCGAGCGUUGUUCGGAGUUACUGGGCGUAAAGGGCGCGUAGGCGGCGAUCCAAGUUAGGCGUGAAAGCCCCGGGCUUAACCUGGGAAUUGCGCUUAAGACUGGAUUGCUUGAGUGCGGGAGAGGUGAGUGGAAUUCCCAGCGUAGAGGUGAAAUUCGUAGAUAUUGGGAAGAACACCGGUGGCGAAGGCGGCUCUCUGGACCGACACUGACGCUGAGGCGCGAAAGCGUGGGGAGCAAACAGG
rnacentral:rRNA from 1 species